rnacentral:tRNA from 1 species
UCCCAGGUGGCUCAGUGGUAAAGAAUCUGCCUGCCAAGCAGGAGACAUGGGUUCAAGGCCUGGGCUGGGAA